AAUCACUUGUCUUUUAAAUGAAGACCUGUAUGAAUGGCAUAACGAGGGCUUAACUGUCUCCUUUUUCAAGUCAAUGAAAUUGAUCUCCCCGUGCAGAAGCGGGGAUAAAACCAUAAGACGAGAAGACCCUAUGGAGCUUUAGAUGUAAAGACAGCUCAUGUUAAAAGUACCCAAACAAAGGACCAAACUAAAUGAGCUCUGUCUAAAUGUCUUUGGUUGGGGCGACCUUGGGGAAACACAAAACCCCCACGAGGAACAGGAGCACUUAACCCUUACAUUUACUCCCCUCCUAGAAAUUAGAAAUACCCUUCUAAUUAACAGAAAUUCUGACCAAAAAUGAUCCGGCAAAGCCGAUCAACGAACCAAGUUACCCUAGGGAUAACAGCGCAAUCCCCUUUUAGAGUCCAUAUCGACAAGGGGGUUUACGACCUCGAUGUUGGAUCAGGACAUCCCAAUGGUGCAGCCGCUAUUAAGGGUUCGUUUGUUCAACGAUUAA
rnacentral:rRNA from 1 species